UGAGAGAUGGAAAAAGAGAGAGGAGAGGGGAGGGAGGUGCUGGGAGAAGGUGGAGACUGAGAGGAUGGAAUACUCAAUUUUGAGAAUUUCUUUUAAUCACUGAAAGGAUGAGUAAACCUCUCUGUGCCAACAAAUAGACUUCCUGCAAGACUACAAAACAAAAGCCAGGGAAAGAAGACAGAGAAGAGGAAACACUUCAGGAUGAUGGACAUCAUCGUCUCAACUUUCCUUUGAGGCUCACAGCAGUUGCAGCUAACCUGAACCUGACCAGCAGUCCAACAGCAACGAGAGGAGGGAGACGGACUGGGAAUUCAAUAAUCUGCUUGCAAAACACUGAGGCACAUCAGGAUGAGGCUGACCAGGGAGUUUCAGCGUUCUGGUGAUGUCGGUAUAUUCCCAUGCCACACCAACAAAUUGAUCCAGUAAUCAAGAGAAAUGAAUGAUCGGACACCCACUGAAGACGCGGCCUGAGGAUGUGACAGAUAUGGGCGACAUAGGAAAAC